AAACAAGCUAUUUUUUAAAAAAAGUAAAAAUUAUACUCCUAUCAUCAGAGAAAAUCAGUUACAUUUUACUUAUUUGGAAUUAUACAAUAUAAUAUAGUUUGUAGUUUGCCAUCUAUAUUUUAUGUGUUUUAGUUUUUUGAACUCCUCAUUGUAAACCAUGAUUUUAAUGACUGCCUUACGAUUUGUAUUAUGAGAAUAUAUUUCCAGAUUUUGUUUGUUUUUGUGUGUGAUUAUAAAUAACAUCGUAGUCAACAUCAUUGGUGUUAAUAUUUAAUAUACUAAAACCAAAUUCCAUUGUAGAAAGCUUUAAAAAAAAAACAGAAGCUGUUAACCAGAGAACCGCUGUUGAACCCAAAUCUUUAUUCAUUCAAUAGCCAUUUUUCAGUAUCUCCUAUAUAGUAGGCACUGCUUUAGAUGCGAAAUCUGCUCUGCAGAGUUAACAUCCUAGUGUAUAUUUAGUGAUAUGUCUGUCUCUGAUGUACAGAAAUGUGUGUGCUUUUACAAAGAGACUAUGCUAUUUACAUGUUACCUUGUAAUCUGGGUUUUCUCCUAUAACAUUAAGAACUUCUUUCCAUGCCAUUGAAACCAUCUAUCAUCAUCAACCAUAUAUCAUCUUUAAUGGCUGCAGAAUGAUUUGUGUGGAUGUGGAGUUUAUUUAACUGAUCUCCUAUAGUCAGAUACUCUUUCGUUUUCUUUUGUUUGCAUUUGAAAUCUAUAAUAUGCACAUUUUGCUUGUCUUUGAUAUUAUAACUAGUAUGAUCUCCACAAGACAUGAAGGCACAGGCAGGGCUGUCUAUCGUCCUCAUUCUUGUACCAUCUCUAAGUGGACUUCAGGCUUUCGUCACACCUGGGAUCAAGUAUGAAAAGAGGAACACAGCUUCUUGAUGUGUGAACAGAAUCAAAGUGGAACUGCCUGGAUAAUUGUUCUGUCAUUGGUGACUUUGGUUUUGCUGGCAAUUUGCAUAUUCUAUAUGUCAAAAAGAUACCAUUCCAGGAGAGAAAGGUGCUCUGUCCAUACUGAGAGGGCCAACACUGCUGGUGCUGAAGAAAACCAGGCUAUUUCAGCUCAGCCAGCUACUACAGGAAAUUAAGACAGGACUAUGUCAACACAUGAUGAGCAUCUUUAAUAUUUAGUGACCUCUCUUUCCCUUUCUUCACUGCACUUCCAGCCAUGGCUUGUCAUGGCCUAAUAAUUCUACCAUUGGAAAGACUUGCAACCAUUGUCUGUCCUGCCAUCACAUUUACUCUUCAAGUCCUAAUCAUCACUCACUGACUCCCUACCUGCAUCAAGAUGAUGAAUUUCUGUAUGCCAAUUCAAACUUUCAUUUGGUGACACUCCUCCCACCAAGAUCUUGGAAGAAAUGUAUCCUUAAGUACUGAUUCAAAAAUCUAAUCAGCUAAUGAAAGGUGAGAGAACACAAAAGCAGAAAUCACCUUAGUGAAAAGGUGAAAAACUGGGGCAAUUGAUAUGCUAAGGUAUUGUACUCCAGCUUUAUGUGAAUAGUUAAUAGCAGUGUAACAAACUCGAUUUAAUAUAGUGAGUCUUAGGGACUCCAAAGUGUAAAAUGUCAGUAUCUCCAAGACUGCCUAGAGCAAAAGGCCCUAUCAACUCAAAAACUGACAUCUCUGGGGUUAGGUUGUACCUUCCAACACCAGGUUUGCACAGCCGAGUGACAUUAGCUCUGGAGAUGAUUUGAUUCAUUUUUCUGGCUCAGUUGUCAUAUUGUUAAUCAGCCUUAUAAUAAAUUUAGAUUUCCAUAUAAAUUUUUACA
rnacentral:lncRNA from 12 species